UCCCACUGCACUGCCUUCCAGCACUGAAAGCUAAGCCCGGGAUCAAAAGGUCUCUACGCCCUGGUCUGGCCUCGCUGUCCCCAAGCCUCGAGCCCCUCGGUGACAUCCCUGGUGGGCACCUGCCCUCUGUCCAGCCCAGAGCAGUCAGGACUUGGAGCCCAGCUCUUCAGUUAACUUGACACACUGCAUCUCCUUCCCAGGACCACCUAGGAGCCUGCUUUUAAGAUGACACUGUCAAGUCUUCCCACAGCUCUCCACGGGGCCCAGAGACAAGCUGGAUGAACCUUGGUCACAAGUCCGGGCCCAGCAUCAUCCCAGAUUGUAACAUCAAAGAUGAGGACUUUGUUGUUGCUGUUUCAGAUGCCACUGACACCUUGAAGAAGGUGACCGUGAGUCUCGUUGGCACAAUUUGAUGUUUUAUUCAGAUCUCAUUGUGCCUAAACAGAGAGUGAGAGUUCUUUAUUCGCUGGACAUGUGAAGAAGGCCACUAGGGCUCCCCUCAGAAGCAAAGUUCACAGGACUUCUGAAUUCCAACCAUGGACCUCUCGGCGGGGGUCCACACACCCCAGAUUAAGAACAAAUAUAGUUCUUGUAAGCCAACAAUUUACUGUAUUAAUGGCCUGCCUUUUCUUUAAAGAAGCCACCUCCCGGCCGGGCGCGGUGGCUCACGCCUGUAAUCCCAGCACUUUGGGAGGCUGAGGCCGGCGGAUCACGAGGUCAGGAGAUCGAGACCAUCCUGGCUAACACGGUGAAACCCCGUCUCUACUAAAAAUACCAAAAAUUAGCCGGGCGUGGUGUCGGGCGCCUGUAGUCCCAGCUACUCGGGAGGCUGAGGCAGGAGAAUGGCGUGAACCUGAGAGGCAGAGGUCGCAGUGAGCCAAGACCACACCACUGCACUCCAGCCUGGGCGACAGAGCGAGACUUCAUCUCAAAAAAAAAAAAAAAAAAAAGAAGCCACCUCCCAUCAGAGUAUAACACACACAAGCCUACGUCCUCCCGUGAAGGCCCGUGGAGGCCAUUUUGGAACUCUACCCUCCUCCGUCUUUGUCCCAUUGGGGCAUCCAGCUCCCAAAUCUUGAGAACACUUCUCCACCUCACACCAACCUGACCAACUGGAAAUCCCCAGGAUGUGACAGCAGAGUUAAAAGCACAUUGCUCACAUCUAUAAUCCCUUCUGAAAUAACUGUGGAGCCUGGAAAUUCCAAAACUUCCUAAUCCUUGUAAAUACCGCAUGUCCUGGCCCACACGUAGAAAUGGAUCAAAGAUCAAUGAGAAAAUAACCAAGAUCAUUAACACCAUGUAAGGAUUCAGCCUCUCAAAUUGGUAAGCAUUACUUAUUACCUUCCAAGUUCCUAUCAAUUCUCUAGGCACUGACAAUAAGUGAGAAAGAAAAUUCCACAAGAAGAUAAUCAUAGUCACCAUUUAUUGAGAAUGUAUUACAUGCCAGGCACCGGUCACGUUACACAGGCAUAGGUCUCUUAUGCCUCCUCUGGGAGGGAAGUGUAGUGGCUUCCAUUUUAGACAUAAAGACGCUUCGAUUCGGAGAGGCACACAGCUGGUGAGCGGUAGAGCUGGGGCUGGAACCCAAGUCCUUGACCACUGGUCCUCAAGGAACCUCUGCCCUGAAGAACCUUAUAAACAACCUGAGGGGUCAGACUGUCAUGCACACAGCCUGGCAGGCCGCCCACCUGGGAAAACACUUGGAGGGAGGCCUGGAGGGAUGGAAAAUGGUUGAUUGUGAAACAAGCAAGUCCAUUACAUGGCCUGCCUUCCAGGAUCAUCUCAGCAAGAUGCCCAAGCCCAGAUUUCUCACAUUCUACCAAGCUCCAGUCAGAGCCACCCUUUCUCCACAAUUCUUCUACCAUUUCAUAUCUGGAAGGAGCCACCUGGAUGCACCUCUGGAAGGAGCCACCUGGGCCUGGAAUGUGAAGAACCCACUUUGAAGAACUAGCACUGAUGUAGAAAACAUUCUUAUGUUUGGAAGAGGAAGAGAAAAGCGAUUCAUAGACCAAGAGCGACUCUUCUUCAGAUCCACUCCACACAGAUAUUUUUCCAGUUCCUAUGUUAGUGCGGCCCACACACCAUUUUGCCUCUUUGUGGGGGAAUAUAAGAUGCAUUCUUCCUUUAAGCUAUUUACUAUGGCUAAAAUGAUACUCAGCCCUCCAGAUGUUUAUAUAACAGAGAGCCAAAGAGCGAGAGACAAAAGGAGAACAGUUCUGCAACAGAGACACUGAGGGCUCCAUUCAUUGGGAAAGACCCGCUGACUUCCACGUUCGGCCCAGCUGUUUGUUCCAAAGUCACCCGGACUGUUGAAGGCUGUUGCCCCCCUGCUGCAUGGGCCCCAGCAGGAGAAAUCCGAACAGAAGGAGAGUGAGUGGCUGUGGUCUUCUCUGCGGCCUUCACUGCUUGCAAGGCCACAGAAGGGACAAUCUUGAGUCUGAGGUCACUCAAAGUUCUGACUUUGCUUCAGCCCUGUCUCUCCGACGGUCAUGACCCUAUUUCUCUCCCCAGUCCAGGCCACAUUUUCUGAAGAAUGGAGACCCUCACUCUCCUAGUGUUACAGAAGCCCAGGCAGAGGCCCCAGCAGGGUAAAAGCAACCUGAAGCCUCUUCUGGCUUCCUUUUCUGGCGCUCUCUGUUCAGGGCGAGGGGAGUUAUUGUGUCAAAGCUCACUUAUCAGUCUGCCCAUCUGAUAGGUGGAAAUUAAACAUAGGCGGGCACCUUCUGAGAAAAUGAAAGUGGUACUCCAAUCCCUGCCUUAUAAACACAGCCCACGCUUAGACCUCGCACACAAGGUUAUUGCUAGGGUAGCAGCAUUCCAUCUUCUGGCCACUUAAGAGGGACUUCCCAGCCAGUAUUUCACAUGUAUAUGUACAAUCACAUACCUGCACACACUCACACACCAGCACAUGCUCACAACUCCGUACACACUCACAUAUGGACACACUUACAACUCUACACACUCACAACCCUGCACAUUGGCCUGUGUAUACUCACAUGCCUGUACACACACUCUCACUUGCACACACACCCCGGGCACACACACAGACUGUGGAAUAACAAUCCCUUCCAAGAAAAACCCUCCAUAGUUUCCAAUCCAAUAACUUCUAACCAGGGACUCCCAACUUGAAAAUAUCCCGUCCUGUUCCCACUUCCAUGGUCCGCUGUUUUCACACCUAGGACCCUUUGGUAGGCCUUCCUGAGAGAGAAACCUAAGAAGUCCUGAGAACCACUUCACAGCACCACAGUUCUUGACCCUUCAGCUGCCCCGGGGUCUGCUUGCUCUUGGAAUCCUGCCGGACCUGGCAUCCUGGACCACCUACUCGCUCCUGCAUCUCUUUCCCCAGUGCCCACCUCCUUCUUGACAACAUCCACGGGCUCCAGUUGCCCUGGUCCUGGAAUGCUGUCUUGCUCUUGCUCUUCCCAAGGCCUGGCGUCCCAUCCCUGCAGCUGACAGACGUCCCCAAGGCCAGCCACCUGCCUGCGUCUCUGAAUAGUGCCUGCUUCCAUGGCCUGCCUCCGAGGGCAAGUCAGUCCUGUCAUCAGGACCCGCUGUCACCUCUUGCUGGACUUCCCCAGCCCCAUCGGUUGCCUGGGUGACUGCUAGUUGCCUAGCACCGUAUUUAAACAGCCAGAUGGGUUUCCUGUCAUUGGCCAUCCUGGGUCUAUCUCGACCCUUCAACACCUGGACCGCCAGGUUCCAUCUCCCAGGCUACCCCGGCUCCCAUCCCUGCAUCCAUCUGUGUCAGGAGAUAAAAUUCUUAGAUAAAAAAAAAACAGUAAGAUAAUCCAUUCUAAGAACCCUCUUGGCUAUGUGUAAUAACACUGAUGUAUAAUUUCAAACAAGCAAUGCCACCUACCAAGAAAUGGGUCACAAAAUGUGCUUCUGAUCUCCUUUUACAGCUUGGCAUUCUUUUGCUGGCAUUCGACUAUAACACAGCUAAUUGGCUUCAUGACAAACUAGAUGUUACAAAAGGCACACGAGGCACUCCUAAUAAAAUUUUUUAAAUUCCAACUUCUUAGUUAAGCAAAUUAAGAAAAUAUUUUAAAUCAAUUUAAUGAUGUUCAAAGAAGUAGCAAGCAAUACUAAAAUGAUAUCACAUCACAAAAUAGAAACUAGCCACUAAAAAUAAACUUUUCUUCAAUUAGGAGAAAAGUAUAUAUAUAUCCAUUGACCCUUGAAUAACACAGCUUUGAACUACACAGUUACACUUACAUGCAGAUUUUUUUUCAACCAAACAAGGAUUGAAAAUACAGCAUUCGAGGGAUAUGAAACCCACUUAUAUAUGGAGGGUCAAGUUUUCAUAUAACACAGAUUUUUCGUAUAACACAGCAGGGCUGACUGUGGGACUCAAGGUGUGCAGAUUUGGGUAUAUGUGUGUGCCCUGGCCAAUCCCCAACAUAUACCAAUGGGUGACUAUAUAUGUACAAAAUAGAAAAAACAAAGCUAUCAAUAGCUUCUACAAGAAGAUGUUUGGCUUACCGAUCCAUUUCUGUAAAUCUGAGCUAUUUUCUGACGCUGAUGGUGC
rnacentral:lncRNA from 10 species